AGGAUGAACGCUGGCGGCGUGCUUAACACAUGCAAGUCGAACGAUGAAGGCUGGAGCUUGCUCUGGCUGGAUUAGUGGCGAACGGGUGAGUAACACGUGAGUAACCUGCCCCAGACUCUGGGAUAAGCGCUGGAAACGGCGUCUAAUACCGGAUACGAGCUUCCACCGCAUGGUGAGGAGCUGGAAAGAAUUUCGGCUGGGAUGGACUCGCGGCCUAUCAGCUUGUUGGUGAGGUAAUGGCUCACCAAGGCGACG
rnacentral:rRNA from 1 species